GUGCUCUCUUCAGCAGCACAUAUACUAAAAUUGGAACGAUACAGAGAAGAUUAGCAUGGCCCCUGCACAAGGAUGACACGCAAAUUCGUGGAAGCAUUCCAUUUUUUU
ensembl:snRNA U6 U6 spliceosomal RNA